CCGGAUCGCCGGUAGAUGCGGGACCGGGUGAGGCUGGCCCGGGGGGUGGCCGCUCCGGGAGCGUGUCCGACGUGGGGGCAGAAAUAACGAGCUUUGUGCAGAUAAAUGGUCACACCUGACUGAAAUGCUCAUGAAGACACCUCUUAGGAAUGAAGUGCCUCUGCUGGAAAAGUCCUCAAGAAUGUAUUCAUAAUAACCAGAUGCCUAGAUGUACUUCAUAGAACUUGCAAGACACUUUUUGACAUAAAUCUCCUUGAAGAGUGACAGAUUCCCAGGGAAAAAACGAACAAGAUAAGUAAUGGCUAGGACAGCACAACAGUUGGUAGCCUCAGUUUGCAUGGCUAAAUUUUUGACCCAGCUCAUGUUUCAGUUCUGAAAUGGAAUAAAACUAGUCAUUCAUCUCUGAAUAAUGUAUUUGGGGAAUGUUUUUAUACUAUACUCACUAAUAAACAAUUUUGUAGUACAAUGUA